UGCUAUUUGUUGUUAAUGCAUAAAAGUUUUUUCGUUAGGGUCGUACUCAUAUAUUCAAAAUACACGCUCGUUCAAUGAGUGUAGAACGAGACAUCAGAUUUGAUCUCUUAGCUCGUCUUUGUCCCAAUAGUACAGGUGCUGAAAUUCGUAGUGUUUGUACAGAAGCUGGCAUGUUUGCAAUUCGUGCAAGACGUAAAGUAGCAACUG